UACGUAGGGUGCGAGCGUUGUCCGGAAUUAUUGGGCGUAAAGAGCUUGUAGGCGGUUUGUCGCGUCUGCUGUGAAAAUCCGGGGCUCAACCCCGGACUUGCAGUGGGUACGGGCAGACUAGAGUGUGGUAGGGGAGACUGGAAUUCCUGGUGUAGCGGUGAAAUGCGCAGAUAUCAGGAGGAACACCAGUGGCGAAGGCGGUGCUCUGGGCCGGUACUGACGCUGAGGAGCGAAAGCGUGGGGAGCAAACAGG
rnacentral:rRNA from 1 species